AGUUGUAUUUUCUUCUUUGCAAAAUCAAUUCUGAGAACAGGAAAGUGAGAAGUCAGAAGUAAUCCCAGGACUGCAGGUGACUCUUUCAACUGGCACCUGCAGGAAAUUCUUUUCAAAUCUCUUACCAGAUGUGCAAAGAAGCCUGUGUGUUCAGUAUUACCAUGCAAUGUACUGCAAGUCUCUGCGUGAUAGUUCCACACAAUGAGUGCCAGUGAAAUUAAAACUAGGUUCUGCU